CAUCUUCAGGGCAGGGUGUAAUUCCCGACCGGCGGUAUAGUCCGCGAGCCGCAAGGCAUGAACCGGUGCAACUCCGGUACCGACAGUAUAGUCUGGAUGGAAGAAGAUG
rnacentral:ncRNA from 1 species